rnacentral:rRNA from 1 species
AGUAGUUUGAUCCGUGGCUCAGGACGAACGCUGGCGGCGUGCCUAACACAUGCAAGUCGAACGGGAGUCUUCGGACUCCAGUGGCGAACGGGUGAGUAAUACGCAGAUAAUCUGCCCUUCUCUUGGGCAUAACAGCCCGAAAGGGUUGCUAAUUCCGAAUGCACAUCGGGGGCGCAUGUUCUCGAUGAUAAAGGCGUAAGUCGGAGGAGGAGGAGUCUGCGGCUGAUUAGCUGGUUGGCGGGGUAAAAGCCCACCAAGGCGACGAUCAGUAGCCGGUCUGAGAGGAUGAACGGCCACAAUGGAACUGAGAGACGGUUCAUACUCC